CUACGGGUCGCUGCAGUGAGGAAUAUUGCGCAAUGGGGGAAACCCUGACGCAGCGACGCCGCGUGGAUGAUGAAGGCCUUCGGGUCGUAAAAUCCUGUCAGAAGGAAAGAAGUGUAUGGUAGCUAAUAUCUGCCAUACUUGACGGUACCUUCAAAGGAAGCACCGGCUAGCUCCGUGCCAGCAGCCGCGGUAAUACGGAGGGUGCAAGCGUUGUUCGGAAUUACUGGGCGUAAAGCGCGCGUAGGCGGUUUUAUAAGUCAGAUGUGAAAGUCCACGGCUCAACCAUGGAAGUGCAUUUGAAACUGUAAGACUUGAGUAUUGGAGGGGGUAGUGGAAUUCCCGGUGUAGAGGUGAAAUUCGUAGAUAUCGGGAGGAAUACCGGUGGCGAAGGCGACUAUCUGGCCAAAUACUGACGCUGAGGUGCGAAAGCGUGGGGAGCAAACAGGAUUAGAUACCCUUGUAGUC
rnacentral:rRNA from 1 species